rnacentral:rRNA from 1 species
UCGGGAAUUUUGGGCAAUGGGCGAAAGCCUGACCCAGCAACGCCGCGUGAAGGAUGAAGUAUUUCGGUAUGUAAACUUCGAAAGAAUAGGAAGAAUAAAUGACGGUACUAUUUAUAAGGUCCGGCUAACUACGUGCCAGCAGCCGCGGUAAUACGUAGGGACCAAGCGUUGUUCGGAUUUACUGGGCGUAAAGGGCGCGUAGGCGGCAUGACAAGUCACUUGUGAAAUCUCUGGGCUUAACCCAGAACGGCCAAGUGAUACUGUCGCGCUAGAGUGCAGAAGGGGCAAUCGGAAUUCUUGGUGUAGCGGUGAAAUGCGUAGAUAUCAAGAGGAACACCUGAGGUGAAGACGGGUUGCUGGGCUGACACUGACGCUGAGGCGCGAAAGCGUGGGGAGCAAACAGGAUUAGAUACCCACGUAGUCCCUGAGCGGGCUGGCAAGGCGCAU